GUUUGCUGGAAUUCGCCCUUAGAGUUUGAUCCUGGCUCAGGAUGAACGCUAGCGAUAGGCUUAACACAUGCAAGUCGAGGGGCAGCGAGGAAUAGCAAUAUUUUGUCGGCGACCGGCGCACGGGUGAGUAACACGUAUGCAACCUACCCAUAACUGGGGAAUAACCCGUCGAAAGGCGGACUAAUACCGCAUAACAAUCAAGAGCUGCAUGGUUUUUGAUUUAAAGAUUUAUCGGUUAUGGAUGGGCAUGCGUUCCAUUAGGUAGUUGGCGGGGCAACGGCCCACCAAGCCUUCGAUGGAUAGGGGUUCUGAGAGGAAGGUCCCCCACACUGGUACUGAGCCAGGAUCAAACUCU
rnacentral:rRNA from 1 species